GACGAACGCUGGCGGCGUGCUUAACACAUGCAAGUCGAACGGAAAGGCCCUGCUUGCAGGGUGCUCGAGUGGCGAACGGGUGAGUAACACGUGGGUGAUCUGCCCCUUACUUUGGGAUAAGCCUGGGAAACUGGGUCUAAUACUGGAUAGGACCAUGCUGUAGGUGGUGUGGUGGAAAGAUUAGUUUCGGUUAGGGAUGAGCUAGGGGCCUAUCAGCUUGUUGGUGGGGUAAUGGCCUACCAAGGCGUCGACGGGUAGCCGGCCUGAGAGGGUGGGCGGCCACGUUGGGACUGCGAUACGGGCCAGACGCAGGCGGGAGGCAGCAGUGGGGAAUAUUGCACAAUGGGCGCACGCCGGAUGCAGCGACGCCGCGUGGGGGAUGACGGCCUUCGGGUUGUAAACUCCUUUCAGCCAUGACGAAGCCCUUGUGGUGACGGUAGUGGUAGAAGAAGCACCGGCUAACUACGUG
rnacentral:rRNA from 1 species